rnacentral:misc_RNA from 1 species
GUAUUUAUUUUGUAGGCAAUGAAGCCCAUUGAUUUCAUUCAUUCACAUACAAAGGGGUAUAUUAAAAACAUAGACUGGAAAAAGCGAGGAGAGCUGCUGGGCUUUUUGAUGCACAACAGCAAGCCUCCGACCGAGUUUCCUCGAAAGUUAUCCAAAGUCUACAGAAGGUGCACAGGUGGAAAAAAGUAAAAGAUGGAAGAGUGUGCACAUGCUCCAAGAAGCCAGCGACAACCCCCCAAGUUUAUUCAAUAAUGAUCCUUCCGCAGGUUCACCUACGGAAA